GGUGCUCUUCCUCAUGGCGAGGGAAGGAAAUGAAGUUCUGCCCGCCAUCCCGCGUUCCGCCGCCCCCGGCCCCGCUCGGGGAUCCCUCUCCGAUGGCCGCUCCCGAGGCGAAGAGGUUCCCCUGGGAGUAUUUGACGUCGCGGAAGAACUUCUUGGUCUCUCGCAGGUUGUGCUGCAGCCUCGCCAGGUGCCGGUUGUAGUGACCGAAGGAGCGGCACAGCUCUCGGAUCAGCCCCCCGGGCCCACCCCGCCACGAAGGGGCUCCUUCGCCCUCCAUCUCCUCCGGGUCCGUUCCGCUAUCCCCUCCCCACCGCGGGGGACGCUCCGGCCCCGCCAGGCUGCGG
rnacentral:lncRNA from 1 species